rnacentral:rRNA from 1 species
GAUGAACGCUGGCGGUAUGCUUAACACAUGCAAGUCGAACGGUCACUUCGGUGAUAGUGGCGGACGGGUGAGUAACGCGUGAGAAUCUGUCUUCAGGUCGGGGACAACAGUUAGAAAUGACUGCUAAUACCGGAUGUGCCGAGAGGUAAAAGAUUUAUUGCCUGAAAGAGAGCUCGCGUCAGAUUAGCUAGUAGGUGGUGUAAGAGACUACCUAGGCGACGAUCUGUAGCUGGUCUGAGAGGACGAUCAGCCACACUGGAACUGAGACACGGUCCAGACUCCUACGGGAGGCAGCAGUGGGGAAUUUUCCGCAAUGGGCGAAAGCCUGACGGAGCAAUACCGCGUGAGGGACGAAGGCUUUUGGGUCGUAAACCUCUUUUCUCAAGGAAGACACAGGACGGUACUUGAGGAAUAAGCAUCGGCUAACUCUGUGCCAGCAGCCGCGUAAU